UAAGGGAUAUUGCGACAAUGGGCGAAAGCCUGACGCAGCAACGCCGCGUGCGAGAGGAAGGCCUUCGGGUUGUAAACCGCUUUUGAGGGGGAAGAGGAAGGACGGUACCCUUCGAAUAAGUCUCGGCUAACUACGUGCCAGCAGCCGCGGUAAAACGUAGGAGGCGAGCGUUAUCCGGAUUUACUGGGUGUAAAGCGCGUGCAGGCGGUGGAGCAAGUUGCCUGUGAAAGCGCCCGGCUCAACCGGGCGAGGACGGGCGAGACUGCGCUGCUGGAGGCAGGUAGAGGUGUGUGGAAUUCCGGGUGUAGUGGUGAAAUGCGUAGAGAUCCGGAGGAACACCAGUGGCGAAGGCGACACACUAGGCCUGGCCUGACGCUCAGACGCGAAGGCAUGGGGAGCGAACGG
rnacentral:rRNA from 1 species